rnacentral:pre_miRNA from 1 species
GGUCCAAAUUUGAAGUAAAGUAGAUUUGUACGAUCAGUUGAUCCUACUGAACUACUCUGCUUUGAGUUUGAGCCC